GACGUAGGGUCCAAGCGUUGUCCGGAUUUACUGGGCGUAAAGAGCGCGUAGGCGGUCUGUUAAGUGUAGAGUGAAAUCUCCAGGGCUCAACCCGGAAACUGCUCUGCAUACUGGCAGACUUGAGGGAUGCAGAGGUUUGUGGAAUUCCUGGUGUAACGGUGAAAUGUGUUGAUAUCAGGAGGAACACCCAUGGCGAAGGCAGCAAACUGGGCAUCAUCUGACGCUGAGGCGCGAAAGCGUGGGUAGCAAACAGG
rnacentral:rRNA from 1 species